rnacentral:rRNA from 2 species
AGGGCGUACGGUGAAUGCCUUGGUGCCAACAGGCGAAGAAGGACGCGGCAAGCUGCGAAAAGCCUCGGGAAGCUGCAAGCAAGCGAUGAUCCGGGGAUAUCCGAAUGGGGUAACCUGAUCGAGGCAAUACUCGAUCGUUCAUACCUGAAUACAUAGGGUAUGAAACGCGAAACCCGCUGAAGUGAAACAUCUCAGUAAGCGGAGGAAAAGAAAGAGAAAUCGAUUCCGUAAGUAGUGGCGAGCGAAAGCGGAUGGAGCCCAAACCGAAGGUAUUCCUUCGGGGUUGUAGGACCACGUCAUAUUCGACCAUACUGGAUAGUAGAACAGCCUGGAAAGGCUGGCCGGAGAAGGUGAAAGCCCUGUAGACGAAAUCCAGAGUGGGAAUUAGUGGUAUCCUGAGUAAUACAUCACACGUGGAACGAUGUAUGAACCCGCGCGGACCACCGCGCAAGGCUAAAUACUAGUUGGCGACCGAUAGUGAACAAGUACCGCGAGGGAAAGGUGAAAAGAACCGCUGUGAGCGGAGUGAAAUAGAACCUGAAACCGUAUGUCUACAAAGUGUCAGAGCAGAGCAAUCUGCGAUGGCGUGCCUUUUGUUUAAUGAGUCUGCGAGUCAGUGUUUGUGGCAAGACUAAGGGCUUCCGGCCCGGAGUCGCAGCGAAAGCAAGUCCGAACAGGGCGCAAUAAGUCGCAGGUACUGGACCCGAAGCGGAGGUGACCUACCCUUGGCCAGGUUGAAGCAUGGGUAAAACCAUGUGGAGGACCGAACAGGUGAACGUUGAAAAGUUCUCUGAUGAGCUGAGGGUAGGAGUGAAAGGCUAAUCAAACCCCGUGAUAGCUGGUUCUCUUCGAAAUGCAUUUAGGUGCAGCGUCACGUGCUGAUGCGCGGGGGUAGAGCACUGACAAGGCUAGGGGGCACACCCGCUUACCAAACCUUAUCAAACUCCGAAUACCGUGCAAUGGAACGUGGCAGUGAGACAGUGGGGGAUAAGCUUCAUUGUCGAGAGGGAAACAACCCAGACCAGCAGCUAAGGUGCCUAAAUAACGCUCAGUGGAAAGGAUGUGGGAUUACACAGACAGUGAGGAUGUUGGCUUAGAAGCAGCCACCAUUUAAAAAAUGCGUAAUAGCUUACUCAUCGAGUGAUCCUGCGCCGAAAAUGAUUGGCGAUCAAGCGUUAUACCGAAGCUCUGGACUUUGCCGCAAGGCAGAGUGGUAGAAGAGCGUUGCAUGCGCGUCGAAGGGCGAUGGCGACUGACCCUGGAGCACAUGCAAGUGAGUAUGCAGACAUGAGUAACGUUAAGCCGGGUGAAAUCCCCGGCCGCCGUAAACCCGAGGUUUCCAGGGCAACGUGUUUCGUCCCUGGGUUAGCCGGGACCUAAGCCGAGGCCGAGAGGCGUAGGCGAUGGACAUCAGGUUAAUAAUCCUGAGCUCGCAACCCUUAAACUGGGGGGACGCAUGAGAAAAGAUGACUAGGUUAUUGAAUUCCGAGUUGAGUCUACGGACUCAGCGCAUCAUUGGAUCGAGUGCCAAGAAAAGCCCCAGCGUAUGCUAAGCGACCCGUACCGCAAACCGACACAGGUGGGUGGGUAGAAUAUACCAAGGCGUAAGAGUGAAACCUGGUUAAGGAACUCGGCAAAUUAGCCCCGUAACUUCGGAAGAAGGGGUGCCUGCAGCGAUGCAGGCCGCAGAGAAAUGGCCCAACCGACUGUUUAUCAAAAACACAGCACUCUGCAAAGACGCAAGUCGAAGUAUAGGGUGUGACACGUGACCAAUGCCGAAAGAUUAAGGCAAGGGGUUAGCCGCAAGGCGAAGCUCUAAACCCAAGUCCCGGUGAAUGUCGGCCGUAACUAUAACGGUCCUAAGGUAGCGAAAUUCCUUGUCGGGUAAGUUCCGACCUGCACGAAUCGUGAAACGAGUUGGGCACUGUCUCAACCAGGCGCUCAGUGAAAUUGUAGUGGCGGUGAAGAUGCCGCCUACCCGCAGAAGGACGGAAAGACCCUAUAGACCUUAACUGUAAGCUGUCAUUGUUUCUUCGGUUUUAAUGCUCAGAGUAAGUGGGAGACGCUGAAGACGCCCUUUAGGGGGCGUCCGAGUCAUCAAUGAGACACCACCCUUUGAAACUGGAGGAUCUAACCCUGAGCCGUGAAUCCGGCCAGAGGACCGUGUCAGCCGGUCAGUUUUACUGGGGCGGUAUCCUCCCAAAGAGUAACGGAGGAGCGCGAAGGUGGGCUCAGCCCGGUUGGCAACCGGGUGUCGAGUGCAUGGGCAUAAGCCCGCCUAACUGUGAGACCAACAAGUCGAGCAGAUGCGAAAGCAGGCCCAAGUGAUCCGGCGGUAGAAAGUGGAAUUGCCGUCGCUCAACGGAUAAAAGGUACCUUAGGGAUAACAGGCUGAUCACGCCCAAGAGUUCAUAUCGACGGCGUGGUUUGGCACCUCGAUGUCGGCUCGUCGCAUCCUGGGGCUGGAGAAGGUCCCAA